rfam:Streptococcus pneumoniae JJA, complete genome.
GGAAAUAAGAAUCGUCAGAGGAAGGGAUAGCGAAAUCGUGGCUCUACGAACAGGAACGUGAUAGUAAGGCGUAUAUAGCGGAUAAGGAGGCUUCAAACUCUAAAGUCCAAAAAGGUAGUCGUAACCUAUAUGUGUAAAUCACGAGAGUAAUUGAAUUCGGACUA